AGUUAAUGAACUUGUAUAAGUGUAUAUUUUGAAAAUAUAAAAAAGAGAAUCUUCCUCUAUUAACUU
rnacentral:tRNA from 1 species